AUGCAUUGCAGCGCUAAUACCAGAAGGCUACUGCUGGCAGAGGGGAAAAAAAUAACAAAAUUUCCCUGCUUUUUUAAAGAAGCUGUAAAAAGGAACUUGAAGCCACAUCCAGGCGCGAUAGCUUCCUGUGUUCUGUUUCUGAGAUACAUUCUUCAGGCUUUUGGUGGAAUGGCUGGGAGAGGUGUUUGGUAUUGACAUUCAAAUGAAAGAAUCAGAUAUCUCUCCAGGCUACAGAAUUUCUUUAUCUGACAUUGCCACAACAAGCAGAUCAGAGGUAUUUGUGGUAUCCCUCUUGGUUCUUUUAUAUUCUAACUGCUAAAUGAAAGGAGCAACAACUAAAACUUAUCUUUGAAAAGGAGAAGUCCAUUAUUGGGGUCUUUGAAGCUUUGACGAGUGAGCACACUGUACUUGGGUAAAGUGCCCUAAUAGGUGGAAGGAAGCAAAGACAGCCUUAUCAAUUUCCCUGUGCAGAAGCAGAACUAUUGUCGUCUUUAUUAAAAAUAUGCCUCUGAGCAGGUGGUCCUGUUCUGAAUACCUCCAAGAAUCUGGGAGUUUCACGUGGCCCUUACUAAAACAGCUUAGGCCGUCUUGAGAGAUGUGAACGGAGAUCAAAUUGCUAUGCUGGGAGUGCUCAGUGUGGUGGACAGAUUUAUUCUCAGAUUUUUAAAACUUGAAACUUUGGCAAUUAUAUUAAUAAAGAUAAGUAAGCUGGUUGACAUCAACACAUGCAUUCUGUUUGUUCUUUGUACAUCCGUGUACCUCCCAGAGAGGGCUGUGACCCAGAUUCCAUAAGCAUUCAAGACUUUCAUUAGAUUAGAAUGACAUAUACUUAUCAUUAGAGCGUACUAAUUAAAGCAGAAAGUGACAUUUCAAAGUAAUGAUGUUCCCUAGUGUCUCAAUGUAAAAUACUCCCUAGUCUAUUUUUAAUGACCUAGUAUGCUAUGUAUUUUUAAAAUAUUAUUUUGUUAUGAACUUAUGUUUUCAUUAUUGUCAAUGGUGGUGAUGGCUAACAAGGUAGGGCAUUCUUCUAGAUGAAUAAGGAAGAAGACAUUGAAACCUACCAGAGGCUUUGGACUUUGAUUGCAGUCACAUACUGGGAGAAUCCAUGCAUACUUUAAUUUAUCCAGCACUUUGUACACUUUCUACUGCUCCAA
rnacentral:lncRNA from 1 species